rnacentral:sRNA from 1 species
CGCUAGCCCCGAUAGUAGCGUUAUCCUGUUGUGGCCGUGUUUGCCACAGCAGAUAUAGCGGAUAGCGGGAAAAAGC